rnacentral:ncRNA from 1 species
UUACUGUUAUGAAAUGUUUUUCGUUUAUGAAAUUGAAAGAUAGAACCAAUCGAAUCACGGCGGUCGCAGAAAGUAAUUUUUGCGCAGCAAGUUGACUUUUCGGUGGAACCCAAUCACGCAAGUGAGGGCAAUACCGAGCCCUAUACCAUACGGUGCAGGGUGUAGAGACUAAACGUCAGCCAUCCCGAGUUUAUCGAGGGAUGAAGAUAUAGUCCGAUCCCUUCAGUAAUGAAGGU